rnacentral:rRNA from 1 species
UACAGAGGUCUCAAGCGUUGUUCGGAUUCAUUGGGCGUAAAGGGUGCGUAGGCGGCGCGGUAAGUCGGGUGUGAAAUCUCGGAGCUUAACUCCGAAAACUGCAUUCGAUACUGCCGUGCUUGAGGACUGGAGAGGAGACUGGAAUUUACGGUGUAGCGGUGAAAUGCGUAGAUAUCGUAAGGAAGACCAGUGGCGAAGGCGGGUCUCUGGACAGUUCCUGACGCUGAGGCACGAAGGCCAGGGGAGCAAACGGGAUUAGAUACCUUGUAUCAG